rnacentral:rRNA from 1 species
UACGAAGGGGGCUAGCGUUGCUCGGAAUUAUUGGGCGUAAAGGGCGCGUAGGCGGUUUGUUAAGUCGGCUGUGAAAGCCCGGGGCUCAACCCCGGAGGGUCAGCCGAUACUGGCAGACUAGAGUACGGAAGAGGUAGCUGGAAUUCCCGGUGUAGCGGUGAAAUGCGUAGAUAUUCGCAAGAACACCAGUGGCGAAGGCGGUUCUCUGGGCAUGAUCUGACGCUGAGGAGCGAAAGUGUGGGGAGCGAACAGG